CUGAGACCUGAGACAUUUGGAUCCAGUUCCGAGGAGGAACAGGUUUGUGUUCUGCUGCACUGGAUGAUUUGGUGCAGGGUGUCCAUGACUGCGGUCAGGUUUGAGCGGUAAGCAUACGACAUUUAGACCUGCUUUUGCCGUCACUGCUGCACCGCAGGCUCAGUGCAACAUUUCACCCGCCUACUGGUGGAUUAAAGCAUCACUUGUCUGUAAAGGAGAGCGGAAGCCUGUGGAAAUAGGCUGGAUAUAGAAGCUGGAUCAGACCCAAACACUGGGCAACACAUUACUGUAAAUGGAAAUUAUAAAAAUAUUAUUUGGCUCAGGAAAUUAAACAAGAGUCUAGAUCCAUAUUUAAUUGGACACACACCAAAUAAUUGUGCUGUAUUGUAAGAUCAUUUUUCUGAAACACAGUAAAUAAAGCAAAAAAUAAAAUGCAUAAAACAAAACAAAAAUAAGAUUCAACCUCCAUCUGUUGAAGGUUUAUUUAGCAAUAAUGACUGUACACGUCUACUACCAGAUACAAUUUUUAUAUCUAAAAGAACAGCUGGUGAAAGUGAGCAGAAAAAACUGUAUGGUGAUUAUUUUUAGAGGCCAAAGAUGUGCGAGUAUACAGUUUAUUGAUGUUAAUCAGAAAUGUGAAUAACAAUUGUGGAUUGAAGGUUACAUGAUGAAUAUAAUGUUGAUCAAGUUAUUUUAUUUUAUAAGCAAAAUGAUUUCUGGUAAAAAGAAACAUUGACCCAUCUUUAGUUUGUUCAUUUUGUUUUACAGUUAACAACCUGCUGGUUUGUGUCACUUUUUUCAUUACGUAAUGUGGUCGGUUAAGAUUAGCCAAGAUGGCGCCUAUGAACUGUAAAGGAAAUUCAUUGCAAAAAACAUUCAAGACAAAUUACAAUACUUUUCAUCAUUCAUUGCAAUUUUUAGCAUAAACCUUCACACUACUGAAUGGGAAACACAUGAAAAAAUCAAAAUGCAUGAGUUACAAAAUACCAUUACAUCAUAAAUUUAAGAAAGAACACUGAUUUAAAUCUGACAAUCUUAUAACGUCUUGCUUAUUUAUACAUCAUUAUUUACAAAUGUGUUUAUCGUUAUGUGAUGAAAGAAUAUCAGUUAGGUUUGAUUAAUGUAAAGUAUAUUAAUACAAAUGUAUUUUACUCUAUUAAUAUAUUUCCACAAAAAGAGUAAAUUAUGGCUGCUUAAAACUACAUCUCAGUGUGUUAGAAACCACGUAUAAUAUGUUUAUAUAAGUUUAUAAAAGCUGAAUGGCUUGGGAGAUGAAAUUCAACGUGUAUUACUGUUCUGCAGUACCAAACGUAAUCACAUUUAGUAUAUAGACCAACUAAAUAGUCACCGUUAAAUCACUAAAAUGCUUAAAACUCAGAGUUCAGCUAACGUUUAACUGGGAAAAAGCUGCUCUGCUGCAGUAAAUUUGUUUCUAACAAGGAGAAAACAGCCCGCUAAAUAUCUCACACGGUACGAGCAGACGUGCCCUUCUCCGUCGUGGUCACUCCUUCAAUCUGAAAGAAAGAAAAAAGAGCACAGAAUGAUGAAAACAAUCUGUCUGCUGUCCCACAGUCACACGUCCUGCAUCACCUGCUUUUUCCACUUGUAACUUCUGCUUUGACCAUGUUUAUGUGGCCUUUGCUUCGACCUUUGACCUCUACGGAGAGACAUCUGUUAGAGGUAAAGGCUCUCUGACAUAAUCAUUCUGCCCAUCCAUUGAUGUGAUUUAUGCUUCUUUUAAGUCCCUGAGUGUGAUGUGACAGGCUUGAGGUUUAUCCAAAUAUUGGUUUGAAUAAAUACAUAAUUGGCCAUUUAUAUAACGUUUUACACUCUACAUCAUUCAAUGAAAACAUCAGGCGCAAGGACAAACUGGUCGGUUGCACUUAUUGCUUAUUUCAAAGUGGCCGAGUUAAUCUGAACUGCUUUCAAUGAAAAAGCGGUUUGAUUUUAGAUCAGGAGUGAGACUGCUGAGGCUCAGGUUGCAGGUAAGACUUCACGCAGAUAUCAGCCAUGCUGAGUUGAGCCACAGGGAUAGAUAGAGAUCUGAGGAGACCAGUUAGCGGCUACAGUGAAACCUCGCUGCUGAAAGAUUGGGAAUUCCAAUGGGGAUUUACUUGUGUGAAAGAAAAUGCUCAACCGAAUCCCAUGCAAGGACUUUCAUCCUCUCAGUCGACCACAAGUAGAAAGCUUCCGAAUUCCAUUCAGGUAGAACAAUUAGAGUUUGUGAACAAGUCAAUUAUUUGGGUUUUGUCUUCUUCUUGAUGUGGUGUGUGAAACCAACAGGACUAACAACUUUGAUGCAAAAAAGGGUUGAAAAUAAACAUUUUAAUUACACUUAAAGUUCUGCAAAUUAAACCACGUUUUGUAUCACUUAACUGAGAUUGAACAUUUCAAACCAGCGAUAAAAUGCAUUAAUUUCUCUAAGGUUGAGUUUCCAGAACCGGA
ensembl:lncRNA